AUUGAAGGCUUGUAUGAAUGGUUGGACAAAAAGCAAACUGUCUCAGUUGUAAUAAUUGAAUUUAACUUUUGAGUGAAAAGGCUUAAAUAAGUUAGGGGGACGAUAAGACCCUAUAAAGCUUGACAAUAAGCCGUUUAUAUUAUAAAUUGUUAGUAUAACUUGAUUUUAAAUGGUGUUUGUUGCGUUGGGGCGACGAGAAUAUAA
rnacentral:rRNA from 1 species